rnacentral:rRNA from 1 species
AAAGAUGGYUUCGGCUAUCACUUUUGGAUGGYCCCGCGGCGWAUUAGCUAGAUGGUGAGGUAACGGCUCACCAUGGCAAUGAUACGUAGCCGACCUGAGAGGGUAAUCGGCCACAUUGGGACUGAGACACGGCCCAAACUCCUACGGGAGGCAGCAGUAGGRAAUCUUCCACAAUGGACGAAAGUCUGAUGGAGCAACGCCKCGUGAGUSAAGAAGGUUUCGGCUCGUAAAACUCUGUUGUUAAAGAAGAWCAUAUCUGAGAGUAACUGUUCWRGUAUUGACGGUAUUUAACCAGAAAGCCACGSCUMACUACGUGCCAGCCGYCGCGGUAAUWCGGUCAUAGCUGUUUCC